rnacentral:rRNA from 1 species
GACGAACGCUGGCGGCGUGCUUAACACAUGCAAGUCGAGCGGUAAGGCUCCUUCGGGAGUACACGAGCGGCGAACGGGUGAGUAACACGUGAGUAAUCUGCCCCUCACUUCGGGAUAAGCCUCGGAAACGAGGUCUAAUACCGGAUACGACCACUUCUCGCAUGGGCUGGUGGUGGAAAGUUUUUCGGUGGGGGAUGUGCUCGCGGCCUAUCAGCUUGUUGGUGGGGUAAUGGCCUACCAAGGCUUCGACGGGUAGCCGGCCUGCGAGGGUGACCGGCCACACUGGGACUGAGACACGGCCCAGGCUCCUACGGGAGGCAGCAGUGGGGAAUAUUGGACAAUGGGCGAAAGCCUGAUCCAGCAACGCCGCGUGAGGGAUGACGGCCUUCGGGUUGUAAACCUCUUUCAGCGGGGACGAAGCGCAAGCGACGGUACCCGCAGAAGAAGCACCGGCCAACUACGUGCCAGCAGCCGCCGUAA